rnacentral:rRNA from 1 species
AAUCAACGCUGGCGGCGUGCCUCAGACAUGCAAGUCGAACGAUUAAAGCUCUCUUCGGAGAGUGUAUAGAGUGGCGCACGGGUGAGUAACACGUAAGUAAUCUACCUUUGAGUGGGGAAUAACCCGGGGAAACCCGAGCUAAUACCGCAUAAUGCAGCGGCACCGCAAGGUGACAGUUGUUAAAGGAGCAAUCCGCUUAAAGNGGAGCUUGCGGCAGAUUAGCUAGNGGUAAGGUAAUGGCUUACCAAGGCUUCGAUCUGUAUCCGGCCUGAGAGGGCGGUCGGACACGACUGACACUGAAUAACGGGUCAGACUCCGUACGGGAGGCAGCAGUCGGGAAUUUUGGGCAAUGGGCGAAAGCCUGACCCAGCAACGCCGCCGUGAA